CAGUGGUCUAGUGGCGGCUUCUCGCCACUACUUUUCUGCUCAGAGUCGUCAGAUUUAAGGGCGGAGUCACUAGGAAACUUUUAAGGUGGGACACUAGGUAUUUCAAAGCUCCCUGUUUCUUUAGUGUGUCAGCUUCCCAUCCUUGGGGUUUGCUCAAGGGCUCCCGCCUGUGAGAACCAGUCAGCCAGCCAGCCAGCGUGCCACACAGAGAGGCAGCUUUUAGGAGAAUUAAAACCAAAAGAGGGAGCAAAUAGUCUGUCAGAGAGGAUGUCACAGCAAGUUAAAAGUUUAAUUGGAGUCUGCUCUUGACUUAGUGAUGCCUGGCACAUGGUGUGCUCCCUGUGGUGUCUGGCUGGAGAGCAUUGAAAUAAUGGCAACCCUGAAGAUGUCAAGAAACAAUAAAUCUUGGUGAG
rnacentral:lncRNA from 1 species